CACCACCUCCGUGUGGCUCCGACACUGAACAUACGGAGAAAGACAAAUCCGUAGGCAGUGAGUGUGUCGUCUUUAGUGAUGAGGACAGCGUGGACGCGGGAGCUCCACUGCACAGCCAGAAGCAAAGCUCUGUCAUGCCAGUUCUCAAAGCUGGUGACCAUGAAGUAGACAACUGGCCCCUUCCUACCAAUUGGUGGAAAUUUGGCACUGGCCGUGAACCUCGCUUGUCUGCCCUGGGCGCAGGUGUAAGUCCAGUGCGCUUUUUGCACACAGGCACUGGAUGGAAAAGGCACAUUUGAGGUAGAACAAAGGUGCAGUAAGAAAGCUGCCUUUCUGCUGUCACCAUGUCUUCCCUUCCAGGCUGCUCCUUUCAUUACUUUUUGGAGAAAUGAAGUAUUGAAGAAACCUAUUGAGUGCUUCUAAUUUCACUGCAAGAUAUCCACCCUCAUAUCGGGAGGUCAGUCCAGCUCAUUCUCAGGAAGACAGCUGUCAUUUUCUCAUUAUGCUUUGGCCUGUGAACCAGAAAGGCAUUAAAUAACUGUGAUCACCAGUUUUGCCAAAGACAGGAUGGGACGCCGUGGGGCUCAUGCAAGCUGUUCCGCGGAACCUUCCUGCUCAUCAUCCUCCAUCACCAGCAAAAGCGGCCAUUCCAGAAUUUCACCGCUUCCUUCUUCCACAGGGUCAUCACCUCAUUCAUCUCCAGGAAUCCAGAGUUGGUACAUCAGGGUAGUAUGGCUUAGAAGACACUCAAGCUAACAGGAUAAGAAGUCCUCCAUCUCCCUCCCGGUAGCAUUACGAUCCUCAUUCAUGUCAAGUUUCUGUAACCCCUAAAUCUCCAAGGCCAACUAGCCUGCCUCCUCCUACCUGAUGAGCCAUCUAAUUCAAGAGCUAUGCCAUCUGCUAUUUGACAGCCAAUGGUUAGAAAUAGAUUUAGUGGUGACAGUGCAUAUCCUUUGGUAACGUCCCCAAAAGGAUGCCCUCAUAGCGACAGAUAUGCCAGAAACAGUCACGUUCAGAGAGCCUUGUGAAAAUUAAUACAAAGAAAACUCCUUUAAAAGGGAGUUAGAAGACAAGAGAGAACUCUCAUGCACGAGACACUCAAAGCACACUACAGACCAACAGGAAGACACAUACGUUGCGUCUCAGACAGGAAGUGAUACUAAAUACGCUGGCGGAAGGAGGAAAUGCCUCCUUGGCCAGCAACAGCCCAGCCAGUGAGAAGCCACUGGCUUUGGACUCCCAGUCUCCUCCAAUGGACACUUCCUUUACGACAGCCCCUCCCAACUUCAUAAAAGAACUUUUCUCCUUUGUUUUCCCCGGAAUUGCUGGGGUUUGCCGUGGACCCCAGGUCCCAAAUUACAGUUUUUGCUGUUCCCAAAUUAACCCGUUUGCUUAUAAAAUAACUGGUUGUUUCAGGUGAACAGCGUUAAUGGUAAGCAGUUCAACAAUGCCGCUCUAGAAAAGCUUAGAACAGCAGCAAGAGUCUCCACUCUUGUCCAGACUCUUCCCUUGGAGACCUCGCCUUCAAGCAAAGGUGCAAGACCAUAGUCAGGAGUCGAGAGUUUCUCACGUUUGGAGUAGUGGCCUCAAAAAGACAAGUCCAAGUCAUAACCCCCAGAACACGGCGAAGGUGACGUGUACACCAGCCAGUGGCCGUGAGGCCUACAGUUUCAGACCGUGGUUUAUUUAAAAGGGAAGUUUCUAUUCCAUCACGAAGUUCUUGCUCAUCACAGGUCUGAAUUUACACCAGGAAAGUUGAGGCAAACCAAGGACAGUCACUUCAUGAACCUUCACCAUCAGGCCCAUCUAUGACACAGAUGACCCGGUGGCAAUGACAAGGUGUCCUCUAACCAACAGGAGGGAACCUCCAGCUCAGGAUGGAGCUGACACCAGCAAGGGGCCUGCCCAACAUGGCUGGGUGGCCCACACCAAGUCCACACACUCGUGGUAGAUUCUGGAGUCAAGGUAAGGAAGAAAGACUUCACCAGGGAACAAUGGCGCCCACAGUGAUGGCGAAGGAAACUCAGACUGAAGUCCUGCACUCCCUCCAAGACAGACUUCCUUAUUCACUCCCCCAGUUGCCAGUCACUCUCACCUGAGGACCAUUCAGAAUUUAUCAGAGAAGGAAACUGAUGGGGACCUCUGGGAGACUGGGCAGGUUAGCCCAUUGGCUUUCUUCCCUCUGGGCUGUGGGGUCUGAGGUUCAGUUUCCAAUGUUGGUUGUCUCAAGUAGAAGCCAAUUCUGCCCCUCCGAGCCCCAGCCUCUUGUGCCCAGAUGCCAUGUGCGGUUCCUUGCCAACCUCUAUAUUCAAGACACGGCUUCGAGGCUCUCUAAACAAGAUGGUCAGGAGUUAAGCAGAGAGAACAUGAAUGAAGGGAGCUAAAGAGGAAAAAGCAAGAAAUUUUAUUUGAGGUGUAAGAAGUCACUAGAUCACAAAUCAUGAUUCCCGCUAAUCUAGUGCAGCUUUGAUUUGCCCGAGAAAGCUCAUUGUUGGCCCUUCCAGUGAGGUCUCCCAGGCUUCUCCAUGGAGACUUUUUUUCCUCUCAGAGUGAGAAGCCAGAAAAGCAUACAAUAGUAGCAGCAUAAACAACUUUUCCAAGAUCAAACCUAGAUUAUAGAUGUCGUUCCUUCCACCUGAAAUCAACUCUUGUCAAUAAGAGGUCCCUCUCAAAUAUUGCAUCUCCAAGAGUCCCCUCCCCAGGGACCAAAAGAAAAAAAAGCCACCUGGCUAGCCAAAAGCAACUGAGUUUUUUAUGGAAUAAAAUUUAAAAACUCGUAUGUGCCACAACUCUCAGAACCUGUACUUCUGGAGGUCAACUCCAAACGCAAAAGAUGACACAAAGCUGGUGACCUUGGAGGUCUGACCAGACUCACAGAAAAGGGAGCCAGAGUUCUUUCAAUGCGGUCAGAAAGCUCUGCAUUUGUAGACUGGAGAUGUUCCCAAGGCUUUCUUCCCUCCCAAACUUAGAGCUAUCCCUCUACAUGGAAUUCCUGAUGAGCCCAUUGGCCUCCUGUUUGAUUGCUUGUCUGAACUGACAUUCUUUUGGUUGAGUGCACCUGGGGUUUGAGCACCCAAGAAACUGGGGUUUCCCAGGAUGAGCAUUAAGGGCAGUGAAGGAGGGGGCAGUUCCAGCCCAGGGAGAACAGCAGUACCAAUUUCACCGAAGUAAAGCACCAGAGUUGUUCUCAGCUCUAUCCCAAGUACCCCCAAGGAGCGGGUUCUCUGUCUUCAGGAAAAAGGCCCAAUGGCCCAGGGAAACCAGCAGACCCCAAAACUCUUCUCACCUAAAUGCCUAACAAGCAUUUGUCUGUAACAUCUCCUUGGGGGCAGAGGCAGAUAGAGAUCUGAUUUCUGGCCUGAUGCUGAUCAACUCAUCCAGACCAAUGAGGUUUUAAGACUAGGAAGUGGGGAAUCAUGAGGGAAGAAGAACUGACUCAGUUAUGCCACCCGCUGGUUCUGAAUCUAAGCCAGAGCUCACAUGGCCUUGUACUCAAGGAGAACCAGAACAUGUUCAGGGGGAAGUUCUAAGACACUACUGAGAAGUCGAGUUGGGUGGCUGAGAUGUGUUUUUGCCAAUUCAAAGCCAGGUCCUGCCUGAACGAGUGCCAGCUUAGAGCGCCACAUCAAAGGUCCGAUUGCCUACUUUUCCCAAUGACUUUUCCAGGUCUGGACCCACCCAGUAGCCACCAGAGGGCUUGACUGGGAUUCGAAAGUCAGGGCCUUGGUGACCAUCCCUUUAGGAUGGACGCUCAUUGUCACUCUGGUGAGGUCACCACCUCACCUGAUCAUAUAGGGCAAUGCUUGGGCUGGAACAAAAGGCCAGACAAAGCUGACAGAGCCUGAUUAAGGCUGGCCAAAUCCCCCUGUCAUCCAAGAAGACGGCAGGAGAAUAACCAUUUUACUCGAUGCCUUCAUCUUGAUAUAAUCCCCAAGAACACAUUAGCGUCUGACCAGGAACUCAGUUUACAGUGGGAAAUCAUGCAAAGCAAUCAUGGCUCACUGGCUGUUGGCACCAAAGCUCUCUCAGGAAGUGAGAGAAACUAUCGAUUCUGGAGAGACCUGGCAGAAUGAGCUUUCACUGCUUGUUAAGAAUUUGUAUUUAAGUGACUAGAUAAUUCUAUACUUACUGCAAUUCUGUGUAAUUUUGUUUAUUGAAAAGGUAUGUGGCCCAGAGCAUUGAACCCAUCCGGCACCCAUGUUCAUUUCCAAGUAUUCCCC
ensembl:lncRNA